rnacentral:antisense_RNA from 1 species
AUAGUGAGUGAGUUCGCAGGAGAUCUGGUUGUUUAAAAGUGUGUAGCACUUCCCCCUUCGCUGUCUCUCUCCUGCUCUGCCAUAUGAAGAUGUGCCUGCUUCUUCUUCACUUCUGCCUGAUUGUGAAUUCCCUGAGGCCUCCCUAGCCAUGCUUCCUGCACAGCCUGCAGAACUAUGUGUGGAGAAGCUUUACCGUACACUAAUAUUAACUAUAUGUGUAAGUAAAAGAAGACUUUCACUGUGACCCUGAAAUCUCAUCUUGCUACAUGAAUGAAAUUUGACAAGAAAUUCGAAAUUUGGCAGGAAAAACAUACCCAAGUUAAAAAAUUACACCUUUGUGGAGAGAAUCCACAGACCCUUUGAAGGAACCCGAUCACUGCUGCAGGCUCCCAGAGACACCAGAAAAACUGUACUUCUGAUAACUAAAGUGAAUAUAAUAUACCUUCAGUUACUCUGAAGGUGAGAAGAGGUUGCCUGAGAAAACAAUGGAUGACAUGCGGUCAGGGGAAUGGAUUGAUCACAGUUUUUAGAGACUGGGAAAAAUGACAGGAAGAAUUUCAAGAAUCUUCUGUAGACAUUUUGAAAUAGAACAAGUAUCCAUGUGCCUGGCUAUCUUAGCUGGUUCUAAAUAGAGGCAAAGAAAUGGCAUUUGCAAUAUAUGUAUGUAUAUUUUUAUGUCAUAUUUAUAUAUAUAUUUCUUCGCAGAAUGCAACAUCACCAUCUUAAAAAGGACACAUGCUAUUUCCCUUUUCUGGAAAUAUUUAUUGAUAAAGACAAGCUCUGAUGCCUUGAACUCACUAAAGUCAGGCUGUAUAGUUUUUGAGAAUUAAUAACCCCAAUAGAAAAGGGUGGAAAAUGCUGCUGCCAUUACUCUUUCUUCCUAAGGGUUCUAAAAAAGAUGUAUCAGAAAGAAUAUGUGGGUUGGUCAAGCAAUGAAUACCUACUCAGUAAAAAUACAAAAUUAAAUUCUAUUGGUCUAGAUACAGGGUUUCUCAACAGCAGCACUAUUGACAUUUGGGGCCAGAUAAUUGACUUUGUUGGUGGUGGCUGUCCUGCACAUUGGAGGAUAUUGCUGCAAUCCUGGCCUUUACCCACUACCAGUAGCAUCCUCCCCGAAGAUGUCACAACCAAAAGUGUCUCCAGACAUUGCCAAAUAUCCCCUGGGGAGCAAAAAUGCCUGCCCCGGGUUAAGAAGCACUGAGAAUUUCUAGUAGGGAGAUUAAAAAGCAAUACUCAGAAGGGAGAAAAAUAGACUUUAUCCUGUAAGUAACAUUAAGAUAGAAACAUUUUAUAGAAUUCCCAUGUACUUCUUACCCAAGAGAAAAGAGUGGUUUUGUCCACCAAAAAUAGUUACAAGAAUGUUCAUAGCAACUUUAUUCAUAAUUAUAAAUAAUGGAAACUACAAAAAUGCUCGACACCAAAAUGAAUAAAUAAAUUGGAGGAUGUACAUACAAUGGAAUACUGCUCUCAGCAAUGAAUAAAGUGAACAUUUAACGCAGAGCAAAAUGAAUGGAUUUCACAUACAUGACGCUAUGUGAAAGAAGCCAGAAUCAAAAGAGUGAUGUAUGACUCAUUUAUAUGAAGUUCAAAAUAUAUAAAACACAAGAAGUCACAAGUAUUUACUGUGGGGAAGAGGAAUGGCUCUUUACCUGGAGGAGCAUGAGAGAGGCUGCUAGGGAACAAGGAAUGCUCUAAGUCUUGAUUUGGGUAGUGGAUGCAUGGAUGUGCACAUAUGCAAAAAUUCAUUGGGAUAUACAUUUAAGACUUGUGUUUCUUUAUACCAUGUAAGGUAUUAGUAAAAAGUAAAUAAUAACAAACUAUACACUGGAGGCAGUAAAUGAAGAGAAAAAGACUCAGGAAAACUAGCAUGUUAUUUUCACUUCUAUUUUACGAACAUUUGUUGUCCAAUAGAUAGAUAGAUAGAUAGAUAGAUAGAUAGAUAGAUAGAUAGAUAGAUAGAUAGAUAGAUAGGAUUAGUUUUCCAGGGCUGCAGUAACAAAGUACAACAGACUGAGUGGCUUAAGCAAUGGAAAUUUCUCAUAGUUCUGGAGGCUAGGAGUCCAAUAUCAAGGUGCCAGCAAGUUUGGUUUCCUCUAAGGCCUCUCUCCUUGACUUGCAGAUGGUCCCCUUUCUGUUGUGUCUUUAUAUGGUCUCUCCUGGGUGCAUGCCUCCUCCUGGUGCUUCCUCCAAGUAUCCUAAUUUCAUCUUCUUAUAAGGAUGACAGUCAGACUGAAUUAGAGCCUAACCUAAGGACCUCAUUUUUAACGUAAUUACCUCUUUAAAAGCAAUCUCUCCAAAUACAGUCACAUUCUGAGGUAUUGGGGGUAGGGCUUCAAUAUUUGAGUCUUAAGGGGUUACAAUUCACCCUAUCACACAAAUGCACACAAACACACACACAUACACACACACACACACACACACACACAUCAUCUCCACAUUUGAAAACACUAGUAGGCUUCUGCAAACCUGCUAAGUACCAGGCAUUGUUCUAGGCAAUUAAAACAUAUUGCUUUAAUUUUAAUAACAUUCCUGAAAAGUAGUUAUAUUACGAAUACCCACUCUGUAGAUUGGAAAAAAGGUCCAGAGCAAUAAGUGAUUGUCCAAAGUCAAUUAGCUUUUAGCUGGCUAAGCUGAAAUUCAAUGUCAGGUUUCUUCACCUCCAAAAACUCUUACUGCUCCAUGCCAUCUCUUCUACCAUUUAUAUGCACACAGAUACACACAACACUUGAAAGGUAUAAGUGUCAGUAUGUGAAUUCUAAGUAGGUUAGAUACUUUUUUUAUAGCACUGAGCAACUUUUGAUCGUUUACGAAUCCAAUCAACAUGAAUAAGUCGAUAUGCAAUGAGUGGGGACAUAUAUACUGCAAAUUCAGUAUUAUUUUGGUUUUGUAUUUUUCCAUUAACUGAAAACUAGGUACCAUAGCAACAGAACUGGUUUAAACCAAAUUCCCACGAAAGAGAAUUGUUUGGCAGGGAUAGAUUUUAAAAUCUUUCUGCACAUCCAGAGAGAGGAAACAAAGGGCUGGGUGACAAGCUAAAAAGUAUAAAAUUAACAAAGUCCCUGAACCCUUGCUACAGGAGAAAUUUAGGUAAAAAUAUCUAUGUAACUAUAAGACUCAAAAUACUUUUGAAUGCUGCUAUUGUAUAAGCAUAUAUGAGACAUGUGAACAAAGAAUCAACUUUUAAAAUCUUUUUUUGGUGUGGAUUUUGAAACCCAAUGUUAAUCAUUUGGACUCUUCUGUUUCCUUUGAGAUCUGCAUUAAGUUCUAUAGAUUCCCACCCCCACACUCUGGCAUGAAUUUCUUACAUUGUCUACUCCUUAUCGUCCCAUUGCUGACACCUCACUAGGUCACUACAAUGGUCCUUUCCCUGACCUCUCUACCUUAUGUCAGUAUCUGCAGAAAGAUGUGGAAGGGCUGCAGAAUCAUAUGGCAGGGGUCAAAAUUUUAAUUCAACUACGAAACAGGUACAAAGAAGCAAAUAUUAUCAUCAUUUUAGAGAUAAGAGAAUUGAGAAACAGAGAAAGUUAAAUGACUGUUGAGUUAUAUAUAUAUAUAUAUGUCUUUUGUUUAAAAAGAUAUUAAAUGCCACCCUGAAAUGAUUCAGACAGCUAGUCAAGUCACAUUUUGUUCUCUAAAGUCAUGUGUUUCAAUUAUUGUGUUCGCACAGGGAGAGAGCCUAGAUUAGGUUUAAUCUCAUAUAUGUCUUUUAAAAAACGCUUUAGAACACCAGACAAUCCAAGGAAGGAGGGCUACUUAUUUUAAUAAGAUGGGAUACCUUCUUUCAUUAGGCAGUAUUUUCAUCUCUCAUCCAUCCAUUCAUCCAUCCAAUUAUUCAUUCUUCCAACGUAUAUAUUAAACACCUACUAAGUGCUGGGCAUUAUACUCAGCAAUAAGAAUGCAAUGGAGAAGAGAGCACAGUUACUGAGUAUCAUAAGGGACCCUGCAGACUCAGAGAAAAGAUAAAUAUACCUAAAGAUACUUACAGUCAUCAGUAAAUGCUGAGAGAGAGAGAGAGAGAGAGAGAGAGAGAGAGAAACGAACAGAUUGCUAUGGUCAAACAAAAAGGUUGCUAUUGGGCAAUUAGCUGACACAGCUGUAUGAAAGACAGACUGGCCAAUAUUUGAAAACAUGAACUCUGAGUUUUUGGCCUCUGGACCUGAGUUAUGUCUUUGUUUAUUUACCCUAAGUCAUUCCCAGGGAUUUACAACUCUAGUUUCCUUCUAAAGAUGUUCCAGUUUUAGUCAUUCAAAUCAAGCGUUAAAGUAAUUCAGAGGAGGCUGGAGAGGAAUCUAGAAAUGUUUCCUAAAAGACAUGAGGUUUCAUUUCUGUAUUAUGUUAACUGAAAGCAGCUCCCAAUCAGGAGUCUAAGUCUUAAUAUCGGAUAAUCAUAAACAACUAUUUAUUAAACAGGCAUCAAAUAUGCUCAACACUGUUUAUGGUACUGCCUCAUAAAGAUUAGGGCAUGUUACUGCACACAGGGAAUUUACUUUUCAGUUGUGGAGAUAAAAUUAGCAUGUAGGAAAUAAUUAGAGAAAGAUUAAGUGCUAAACUAUGUGUUACUCUCCAUAGGGAUUCAGAGAGUUAGAAAGAUUUUGGUGGGCUAUGUAUUCUGACAUAUGGUUAGAUAGAAGAAGUAGUUUUAUCUGAACCCAAAUUAUUCCACAAGCCCAUUGGUCCAAGUAUAAGGUUAUUAGAUAUUUUUGGAUAAUAAUCUCAGAACUACUUGCUGUAAAGUGCAGGCCUAUUGAAAGUGAAAAAGUCAUGCUUAGUACCCCUGGUCAUAAUUAUGGGCUGCAUGGACUGCUAACCAGAGACCUGACUGGAAAGCAAGAAGUGGAAGGAAAUGAAGCAGCACGAGCUUUCCCAGGAUGAUGAAAGCUGAUAUCCCUGGUUUCAGUCUCACACUAUUUGGACUAAUUUCACUGGUGAAUGAAAAGCAUGUAGAACACCUGAUUUCAGUUAGGCUUUCUUUCUAUAAUAAUUCUGAAUAUAAAAGCAUCUAGAUGGCUAUAAAUUAGUGUUUUGAGCUUGGAUGUUUUGGAUGUUGGUGUUUUCUGAUGCAUGCUCUUAUCCCAGCCAGUAAGGAUACCGUGCCUCAUGACUUUACC